rnacentral:sRNA from 1 species
AAGAGAUUUUCGAAGAAAAAAUAUGGAUAAUGUGAAAAGUUUAGAAGGUAUGACACAUAUUGAUUAGACAAAAUCAUAAGAGGAUGGAAAGAGACAAUGUAAGAAAAAAUUGAAACAAAUAAAACGAGUUCUUGCAAAAAGAUAGGAAUACUAUUAGCUCUCUGUAAAAAAGUUGUGAAGACAGAAAUUCAUAUACAUAUUGAAAAA